CUCCCCCAGGGGGGUUCAGCCUGGCAACGCAUUCAGCUGCAGGUGGAACUUGCACCCGGCGCUUGUUCCCGAGACCUGCCAUGGAGACCAUCGCCGAGCAACCCGGCCGCUCAGCGGAGCGGUUUGCACGGUCCCAGCAGCCCGACCGGGCCCUUCCACUGCUCCGCUCGUGUCUGGGCCUCAGGCGACAAACACACACCCAGCCAGAGCUGUUUCUCAACGCCUGGCGGCCCCCUGGGAGACCACGCAUCAAUUGCUUAGGAAUUACAUUUUCAAUCACGUCUGGGAGGUUUUCUCGCUCGGCAUCCGAGAAGCCUUGGGGUAAAGCUCUCCCACCGGCGUGCUGCUAUUUCUCACCGGGUUGCUGCUCAGUUCCCUGUAACAUGGCUGAAGCGAAGCCCCACUCCUUGGUGCCAAAAAUACCACAACCGCCAGACAAGGAGAGGCUGGGGGCGGUGGGACCGCGGAGCCUGCAGAGGAGAGCAGCUUCAUUCGGUUUCAAACAACAGCACCUCGUGGUCCCGCAGCCUGAGUUGAGGACUCCUGCAGCGUGCUCGUGCAGUGCUCAGAGCGCCCGGAGAGCUCGCCCUGGGCCACACCAAAGCCCUGCGGAGCUCCGUGCCCCAUCCAGGGCAGGAGGACCACUGCCAGCCCCUGGCCCUCCCAGCUUUUCGGGCAGAUCUUCAAACCCGGAGCUGUUACGGGUGUGUUUACAGUCCCUUAAGAAUAUCAGUUUGCCCCGGGAUGCACAGUGGCCAGAAUUUCCCCUACUUCCCAGCAGAGCUGCAUAAACAGGACACAAUUAUCUUGUAAAA